CCUUUAUUUAUAUUUAUAUACAUAUAAGACCUAUGAUCAUAAAAGCAAUGUUUAUAUUUACAGUGCAGUGUGAGACAUUGUUAUUGUGCUUUCGCCACUCUCCGACCGCCCCAGUGACAUUAGCUCGGUCCCAGAGUGCCCUUGCGUAGCAGCUGCACUUCUCUGCCGCCGUCCAGCCACACAGAGCCUAUAGCUGUAAAACAGACCCAAAAGCAGCACUAUUCCUAUGGUCAGCCCGACAAUAAUAAGGUACAAAUUAGGGGUCAAAGCCGAGAUUCGGGUCGGAACCGUUGCGGGGGUCAGGACUACGGUUGAGGUUAGGGUUCGGGUGAGGGCCGGGGUUAAGAUCCGGGAUUGAACUGGGGUUCGGGGAGUGGCCGGGAUCAAGGCGGG